rnacentral:rRNA from 1 species
UACGAGGGGGGCAAGCGUUGUUCGGAAUUAUUGGGCGUAAAGGGUGCGUAGGCGGUUUGGUAAGUCGGGUGUGAAAUCUCCACGCUCAACGUGGAGGGGCCACUCGAUACUGCCAUGACUCGAGUCCGGUAGAGGAGUGUGGAAUUCCCGGUGUAGCGGUGAAAUGCGUAGAUAUCGGAAGGAACACCAGUGGCGAAAGCGACUUCCUGGUUCAGCAUCGACGUUCAGGCACGAAAGCGUGGGGAGCAAACAGG